GACAGAGGUCCCAAGCGUUAGGCGGAAUCACUGGGCUUAAAGCGUGUGUAGGCGGAUGCCUAAGUACCUUGUGAAAUCCCACGGCUCACCCGUGGAACUGCUUGGUAUACUGGGUGUCUUGAGCCACUUAGGGGCUACCGGAACAAGUGGUGGAGCGGUGAAAUGCGUAGAUAUCAUUUGGAACGCCAACGGUGAAAACAGGUAGCUGGGAGUGUGCUGACGCUGAGACACGAAAGCCGGGGGAGCAAACGGG
rnacentral:rRNA from 1 species